CUGGGCUUAACAUCCCGAUCGCACCUUAUAGAAAUAUAGGGGUCAGUUCGGCUGGAUCGGAGACAGGUGCUGCAUGGCUGUCGUCAGCUCGUGUCGUGAGAUGUUGGGUUAAGUCCCGCAACGAGCGCAACCCUUGUCCUUAGUUGCCAUCAUUCAGUUGGGCACUCUAAGGAGACUGCCGGUGUUAAACCGGAGGAAGGUGGGGAUGACGUCAAGUCCUCAUGGCCCUUAUGUCCAGGGCUACACGCGUGCUACAAUGGCCGGUACAAAGGGCAGCAAAGCCGCGAGGUGGAGCAAAUCCCAAAAAGCCGGUCUCAGUUCGGAUUGGAGUCUGCAACUCGACUCCAUGAAGUUGGAAUCGCUAGUAAUCGCGGAUCAGCAUGCCGCGGUGAAUACGUUCCC
rnacentral:rRNA from 1 species